UUUUAUGAAAAUACUAAUGGAAAGUACCCUAAUGGCAGCAGAUCCUAACUUUGGAAGCUAAGCAGAACCAUCCCUGGUUAGUACUUGGGUGGGGGACCACCAACGAACAACAGAAAUUAUAGGCC
rnacentral:rRNA from 11 species